rnacentral:tRNA from 1 species
GGAUGUAGUUCAGUGGUAGAGCGCUUGCUUGGCAUGCCAAGUCCUGGGUUCCAUUCCCAGCACCA